rnacentral:rRNA from 1 species
GCCUACGGGGCGCAGCAGCCGCGGUAAUACGGAGGAUGCGAGCGUUAUCCGGAUUUAUUGGGUUUAAAGGGUGCGCAGGCGGAAGAUCAAGUCAGCGGUAAAAUUGAGAGGCUCAACCUCUUCGAGCCGUUGAAACUGGUUUUCUUGAGUGAGCGAGAAGUAUGCGGAAUGCGUGGUGUAGCGGUGAAAUGCAUAGAUAUCACGCAGAACUCCGAUUGCGAAGGCAGCAUACCGGCGCUCAACUGACGCUCAUGCACGAAAGUGUGGGUAUCGAACAGGAUUAGAUACCCGAGUAGUCCCGGCAG